AGUUCAGUUGCUGGGUCAUAUGGUAACUCUAUGCUUAACUUUAUAAGAAUUGCCAAACCAUUUUCCAAAGUGGCUGUACCAUUUUGCAUUCCUAUCAGCAAU
rnacentral:pre_miRNA from 1 species